rnacentral:rRNA from 1 species
AAAGGGUCCGCAGGCGGAUUUAUAAGUCAGUGGUGAAAUCCUAUCGCUUAACGAUAGAACUGCCAUUGAUACUGUAAGUCUUGAAUUCGGUCGGAGUGGGCGGAAUGUGUAGUGUAGCGGUGAAAUGCAUAGAUAUUACACAGAACACCGAUAGCGAAGGCAGCUCACUAGGCCUGGAUUGACGCUCAGGGACGAAAGCGUGGGGAUCAAACAGGAUUAGAUACCCCGGU